rnacentral:misc_RNA from 1 species
CUGCGUUGCACGCUCCUGCCCAGUUUCCUGUGCCGCGACCUUGUCGAGUUCCAUCCUUGCUUCUUGCUCCCGGCUUCUUGUCUCUUCCUUGGACACCUGCUCUACUGCGCACCAGGAUGCGAUGAGUUCGGCUCUGAUUCUUUUCCAGCGGCGCGUAGCUCCUUCCCUAGUGUUGCGCCCUUUUCUUCUGCUCGGACCUCGCCAUGGAGAUUCCUCGCCGCACCGAGCGCCGUGAAAACCCUGUGCUCACCAUGCCGAUUUCCCCUGCGGCAGCUUUCUCGACCAACCCCUUUGCUCCUCGCCAUUGCGCCGUCGUUGCCUACUAUGUCAGGACACCUCCCCUCGUGCUCAGACGCUCAUCAGGGAACCCGUCGUCGACAACUUUGGUUCUACGUCGCCGGAUCCGUGCUUCAGACAGCAGGUUCAGGAGAGGACGAGCCGGAGUACGACUUCGCCAACGACGGGUGGUACGACUAG